rnacentral:lncRNA from 1 species
UCCCCCUAUCCCUUUUCCAUAUCUCCCAAUUCUGAUCAUGUUGCCAUUACAGGGGCCAGUGUCAUUCAAAGAUGUGGCUGUGGAUUUCACCCAGGAGGAGUGGCGGCAACUGGACCCUGAUGAGAAGAUAACAUACGGGGAUGUGAUGUUGGAGAACUACAGCCAUCUAGUUUCCUUGGGUGAGGAUAGCUUGCUUUCUGAAUGCUCUCAGUUGAAUGGGGUUUUAUGCUUGAGUUUGAAGAAAUAAGUGACAACACCACUUAAUUCCUUGUGGGCACUAGCUGCAGUGUUUAUAUUAUUCUUCAUUGAAAGGUUCUAUCUUUGAUAAGGUAAAAAAUGGAGCAUUUCUGUUAUGCAGCUUAUGAGGUGGCAACAUCUUGUACUUCAGAGAUUCUGAAGCCGAGCAACUUGCCCAAGUCCUUCUUCUUUUCCCAUUAACAAGAUAUGAUAUCACCAAGCCAAACGUCAUCAUUAAGUUGGAGCAGGGAGAGGAGCUGUGGAUAACGGGAGGUGAAUUUCCAUGUCAACAUAGUCCAGCAUUUAUUUGAAAGACAAACCUCUUGGAUGUGACUCUGGAGACAAGACCAGCAGCUCGAGACCAUUCAAUCCAAGGUAUAAAAUGGAGGAAAAUCAGCUCCAUCAUGGUCUGAAUUGAG